GAGGGGUAACAUUGAUUGCUUGCAAUCAGAUGACGACCGGCGCACGGGUGCGUAACGCGUAUAGAACCUACCUUUUACAGAGGGAUAGCCCAGAGAAAUUUGGAUUAAUACCUCAUAGUGUUUUAGAUUGGCAUCGAUCUAAGAUUAAAGAUUUAUCGGUAAAAGAUGGCUAUGCGUCCUAUUAGUUAGUUGGUAAGGUAACGGCUUACCAAGACAUCGAUAGGUAGGGGUCCUGAGAGGGAGAUCCCCCACACUGGUACUGAGACACGGACCAGACUCCUACGGGAGGCAGCAGUGAGGAAUAUUGGACAAUGGAGGCAACUCUGAUCCAGCCAUGCCGCGUGCAGGAUGACUGCCCUAUGGGUUGUAAACUGCUUUUAUAUAGGAAGAAACGUUUCCAUGCGUGGGGAUUUGACGGUACUAUAUGAAUAAGCACCGGCUAACUCCGUGCCAGCAGCCGCGGUAAU
rnacentral:rRNA from 1 species